rnacentral:misc_RNA from 1 species
UACGGAGGGUGCAAGCGUUGUUCGGAAUUACUGGGCGUAAAGCGCGCGUAGGUGGCGCGGUAAAUCUCUGGGUGAAAUGCCGGGGCUCAACCCCGUGCCUGCCCGAGAUACUGUCGUGCUUGAGACAAGUAGAGGCUAGCGGAAUUCCGGGUGUAGCGGUGGAAUGCGUAGAGAUCCGGAAGAACACCGGAGGCGAAGGCGGCUAGCUGGGCUUGGUCUGACACUGAGGUGCGAAAGCGUGGGGAGCGAACAGG